rnacentral:rRNA from 1 species
UCCCAGACUCCUACGGGAGGCAGCAGUGGGGAAUAUUGCACAAUGGGGGGAACCCUGAUGCAGCGACGCCGCGUGGGUGAAGAAGCGCCUCGGCGCGUAAAGCCCUGUCAGCAGGGAAGAAAAUGACGGUACCUGAAGAAGAAGCCCCGGCUAACUACGUGCCAGCAGCCGCGGUAAUACGUAGGGGGCAAGCGUUAUCCGGAUUUACUGGGUGUAAAGGGGGCGCAGACGGCAGUGCAAGUCUGGAGUGAAAGGCGGGGGCUCAACCCCCGGGACUGCAUUUGGAACUGUAUGGCUGGAGUGUCGGAGAGGCAGGCGGAAUUCCUAGUGUAGCGGUGAAAUGCGUAGAUAUUAGGAGGAACACCAGUGGCGAAGGCGGCCUGCUGGACGAUGACUGACGUUGAGGCUCGAAAGCGUGUGGAGCAAACAGGAUUAGAUACCCUCGUA